rnacentral:lncRNA from 1 species
GCCAUGAGGAGCAAGCCAGAAAGGAGCACUCUUCUGCAGCCUCUGUAUCAGUUGUCUCCAGAUUCCUGCCCUGCACGAGUUCCUGCCUUGACUUUAUUUGGGAAAAGGAUUUAUGUGUGGUGAAAUGAAGUUACACGAAUGGGAAAAUAAAUAUGGAUGGAGAGGUGAACAGGUUCUUCUAGCAACCCAAUAAAGAACAUUGAUUUGAGGGCGCACGGGGCUGUGAUAUGCUGCAACAUUGAAAUCAGAGGCCAUUAGGACAUUUUCCCAGAACAAAAUGUAUCCCAGAAGAAACAAUGCCACGUGGCUUGUCCUGGUGUGUUAUUUUCUCCUGAAUUGCAGGCUGCCUCCCCUGCAAAGCUCACAUAUUUUAAGCUUCACAAAUAACACUUUCAAGAGGACUGUGAAAUAAAAGGCCCACAUAGUUACGGGGCACCCUGGGGGGCAUGUGUAUGUGUUUGCUUUCCUUAGCCAGAUUCUGAAAAGGCCCAGAACGUGGGAGGUGUUAUGGUAGGGCUUCCUGAGGCCAGGAGAAUGAAAGGAUUCCUUCAUCAACCUUAUUGUUGCAAAACUUCAAAGUGAGGCCAAGGGAGAGUAGGAGUGGGAGCAAGCAGUCAGCCUAGAAAUCUGCCAUCUCCUCUGUUUGUUCCAAUUGUGUUACAAGUCUAUUGUCCCUGUGACUCUCUAUAGUGCUGGCAACUGACAAGAGUGGUGAGCACACCUGCCUGUCAAUCAGAUACUAAUGUACAUUCCCACCUUCAUUUUGUCUUUCCUCUGAAGAUAUUUUCUCUCAUCUAGAAGACAAGGUGGUAGAUUAAGAACCCGGAAGGAAUCCUUUUAUGAUCUAAUAAUACAUUUUAUCCAAGAAGCUAUUUGUGAGGAGAUCCUAACACCCAGUUGCAUAUAAUAUUUAAAUAUACCCCAAACUCAGCUCCAUCUUGGAUUAUGUUAGCAUGCUGGCUUUUCUUUCUUCCAGCCAACAUCACUGCACACGUGCACUGGGUUGUAUAAACACAUUUAAAAGCUGGUUCCUUCCAGCUAGUGGAGGAAAAGAGUUUCCCAUGUGGAGAAAGUCCACAGCUGUCAAAAGUACACUCAAUGGUUAUGUUAGUGGACACGGACAGUAAACAGCCUGUUUUCAAAGGCAGUGUCCAAGUCAGUAUUCGAGGCAAAAGCCAGGUAAUACAUAAAAUGAUGGAAUUUUCAAAACUGUUGACGAUUUGAAGGAGCAGAGCAAAGUGGGGUUAUUGGGUGCAGUAGCAUCUGCUGUGGCUGCUGUAUGAGUUCAUCCAUACUGGUUGCUAUAGUUCCCAAAGAAGAACUGAUAAUGAGAGAAGAAUGAGAGCUGUUCAGGAAAUCUACUGGGAGCCUUCAGUUCAGAGUUUACCCCAAGUCCUGCAGAUGUUUGACAAGUUGUCCUUCAGCUUUGGUUGUGGAAUGGCAGGCUAAAGCUUUGUCGGUGGGCAGUGGCUGUAUAAGCCUAGUGUGCAGUGGGCAGAGAAGCAGGGAGUGUAUCCAGGCUGGCAGAGGUGAAUACUGUAGCUGGAGACAGGAACAUGGCGGCCCUUAAGUGCUGAGGCCCACUGGGUGGGGAAUGCUGCAGAUUCCUGAUCAUAGAUGGUCUGCAGUGAGGAUGAUAGCAGUCCUCUCUUUACAAUCUGAAAUUUGGAAAUGCCCAAACACGUGCUCCAAGUCAAAGGACUACUGUGCAGGAAGAGCUAUUCUUGGCUCCGAGUCUGUUGUCCUUUCCAUUUUAUCAGGCCAUGGGACAAUCGAAGAGCACAAAGUUACAACCUGUCCCUAGUCAAACUCCACAUCAAGAUUGCAAACAAUGGAGCCCAUAUCCUCUCCCUUCCUCCUUGAGUCCCACAGACACGGUCAGAUCACCCCUCCAUCCUCCUAAAAGAUAAGGGGAAAGAAUCAGAAUGAUGAGACCAACAAAGCCUCUCUCAGAGUCAGAAGAUUUUUAUUACUAGUUGAAAUUAUCUCCUUAAGCCCAGUGUGGCGAUCCCCACCACCGAUUACAUUCAGGAAACUUUUCAACACUUACGGAUGCUUUGUGGGGAGGGGUCUUUCCUCGUGUGGUGACUGCUUUGGAGAUUUGAAAGGUGGGUCACGACUAUGUCUUUGCUUUUGCCUUCCUGCCAUCUAGUCUCACUGUACAGUCAUUGCCAUGUACACAGUGAUUUUCAUGUGGUGACCACCAUAAUGUGCAAUGAUCCAGUUUGUGUCCUCUAGCCAUAACAGUGAGACACCUUUGAGGAUAGGGAUGGUGUUUAAAUAGUAAAUUCUAUAUCUAUCUUAAAAUAUCAUCUUGGGUCAUUUUUAUUUGCAUUUCUCUGACCACUAAGGACUUUGAACACUUCUUUAGAUACUUCUCAGGUAGGAUAGGAAACAACUAACCACUUCAAACAUUUCUCAUUUAAAGCAAAUUGGUGGGUAUAAUUUUCACAAUGAUUCACUUAUUGGACUAGGAUUUAAUUGGAAGGGUUUCUGUAUUGUGAAGGUUUCCUGCCUACUUAUCUGAGAGAUCAACAGUUACUAACUGGAAGCAAGAUACACCUCAAAUUUUUUUCUAUAUCAAUUCCUACUGAUUAUUAUAAUGCUUAGUUAUUUUUGUAAAUAUUUAUGCAAGUCAUAUAAUAUGCUUAUUGCUUCUAUACUUCCAUAGUUGUAUGUGACUCUUUUUGUAUUCUUUAUCAUUUCAUUAUUUAUUUGGUAAUUUAUUUUUGAUUCUUCCAUGACAGUGCUCUCACGACUUCUCUUUCAAAUCAUGAUCUUGAUCUGAUGACAAGAAGGGUAUCAUACAAGAGUCUAGAGGACAUGUUACACAUCCUAACAU